rnacentral:lncRNA from 1 species
AGUUGAUCUCCCACCAACAAUAUGGCUGAAUUGGGGCUCUGUCUUAGUUGCUUUCCUGUUACUUUGGUCACACACCCUGACCUCAGACAACUUAUAGAAGGAAGAGUUUAUUAGGUUCCAGAAGGUAAGAGGCAAUGACUGUCAUGGUGGGAAACAUGGCAGCAGGCAAACGGGCAUGGCGCUGGAACAGGAGCAUCUUGAUCUACAAGCAUGAAGCAAAGAAAAAGCUAACUGAGAAUGCUAUGGACUUUUGAAACUUCAGGGCCUGGCCCCAGUGACACAUUUCCUCCAACAAGGUCACAUCACACUUCCUAAUCUGUCCCAAGCAGUUUUACCAACUAGGGAUCACCCAUUGAAAUACAUAAGUCUACUGAAGCCAGUCUCACACUCAAAAUUCCAGAGGCUCUUUUCAUCUUUACUCUUCCCUACUUCUCUCCUCUCCUGUCUGCCUUCAGAGCUUUGACCCACAUCUAAGUUAUACUAUCUCCUAGUGUUUUAAACUUAAUUAUUACACCUCCCUUCCAAAGACCAAGAGUGUGUCUAAUAGUAUCUUGAAAAGAAAGUUGCAAAGCUGCCAUCCCAGCCUCCAGUUGAAGAGGAAGCAGUUCCACCUCUCCCAAUGGCUUCAGUGGUUAUCCGUGGUACCCUUUCCCUCUCCCCACUCAUCCACAGGGAGGUCUAUGACUCCAACUCCAGACUCAUCCAAUUCUUCCACUCUCUCAAGCCAAACCAUCGCCCUCUUUCUCUUGGACUCCCCAGCCUCCUUGCUCUCCUCUGCUUUCUUCUUAUUGUCCCCUAAGAUGCUUCCUAGGAAGCCAGAGGAAUUAAGUGUGAACAACUGCAUAGAAUAAUGGUGUCUCAAAACUUAAGUCCCAGCCUGCAUAUUGUGUUGAAUUAAAGUCACCAUCAAGUCAACAAGGCAAGGAAAACAGAGCCAUACAGACUGGAAAGGAAAUUCCAAGAAAGUAGUACAUACCUCUAAUACCAGUACAAAGGAGGUGGACACAAGAAGAUUGUGAGUUUAAGGCCAGCCUGGGCUACAAGGCCCUCCUGCACAAAAGAGAAAAGGAAUGAAGAGGAAGGAAAGAUUGGAAAGGAAGAAAUAAAGCUGUUGCUAGUCACAG